ACUCAGCACCCAUCUAUAUCCCGACGAUCGCGGAGUGAACUAUACGCGCGAUAUUUCUGUAAACGCCGGUCUCGUUGGUCCUCAGCGGACGUUCGUAUUCAUAAAUCGCGAGACGACGAGCCAGACGGACGUCUUCCGGGUCAAUGGCAUUAUUACCACGACUGCCGAGAGCUUAUGGACUCCGCCGUGAGUAUCGGAAGCGUAUAGGCCGCAUUGCCCAACAAUAUUACGAGGCCGAGGAUGUGCAACGCCAAGAAAAACGCCCUUGAGAGGUCGCGCGGGGAAAGAAUUCGACGUCGAAGUCAAUGGUCAGCAACAGCAAAGACUUGUAUUUAGGUAGAAAAGGCAAGCUAUAUAGACCAAGGAUAACUGACUAAAAACCAUCUUGUAAAGUGUUUCAACGUUCACCACAAAGUGUGUUCGAAAAAACAAGAUCCGCGCCGACAGCUGUUGCGACCAUUAUUGUUACCAAAUCCGCG